AGUUCAGGCAAUGAAAUAAAUAUAUUUAUAUAGAGAUUGAAAGGAAAGUUUUGAUAGACAAGAAGUUAUUCCAGCUGCAUCUGAACUUAAGCCUGAUGAAUGGUGGAGGUUAUUCGGAGGCUCUGCUCCAUGUCUA